rnacentral:pre_miRNA from 1 species
UAUCGGGGAGAGAAUCGGGCUAGGCUCAGGUUUUUUUUUUCAAAAAAAGGAAAAAUUACGUUUUUACGUUUAGUCAGUCUUUUUCUCUCUCCUAUA